rnacentral:rRNA from 1 species
CCACCCUUUAAUGUUUGAUGUUCUAACGUGGACCCGUAAUCCGGGUUGCGGACAGUGUCUGGUGGGUAGUUUGACUGGGGCGGUCUCCUCCUAAAGAGUAACGGAGGAGCACGAAGGUUGGCUAAUCCUGGUCGGACAUCAGGAGGUUAGUGCAAUGGCAUAAGCCAGCUUGACUGCGAGCGUGACGGCGCGAGCAGGUGCGAAAGCAGGUCAUAGUGAUCCGGUGGUUCUGAAUGGAAGGGCCAUCGCUCAACGGAUAAAAGGUACUCCGGGGAUAACAGGCUGAUACCGCCCAAGAGUUCAUAUCGACGGCGGUGUUUGGCACCUCGAUGUCGGCUCAUCACAUCCUGGGGCUGAAGUAGGUCCCAAGGGUAUGGCUGUUCGCCAUUUAAAGUGGUACGCGAGCUGGGUUUAGAACGUCGUGAGACAGUUCGGUCCCUAUCUGCCGUGGGCGCUGGAGAACUGAGGGGGGCUGCUCCUAGUACGAGAGGACCGGAGUGGACGCAUCACUGGUGUUCGGGUUGUCAUGCCAAUGGCACUGCCCGGUAGCUAAAUGCGGAAGAGAUAAGUGCUGAAAGCAUCUAAGCACGAAACUUGCCC